CAGAAAACAAAAACUAGACAAUAUCGCGGCAGCUGAUAUAACACAGACAACUAACGUUGGGACACAGCGAAAAUAAACAGAAAAAUUGAUCAUCGAAUCCAAUCAUUAAUAUUGGUUCGAAAUAUAAGCCUGAAAUGAACACCCCAACAUCCACAACUAGACAACAGACCAAUUAGCGGGUCGUAUCCUGACUUUUAGAAAACUGAUACCAGCAGUCGGAAAUUUGAAAUGCGGAAUUGCUUAAUAAGUAACAGGACUGGAUAUCUUUUAGAUUCAGCGAUGUCUUUAGUGAAACAUCCUAUUUUUUGCGGGCAGAAGUGAAGAGUGUGGGCGGUAGCUGACCGGAAAACCUAAGAAUGAGAUCCUAUCUUCGGAUGAAAUCAAAGGAUUUAGUGUAAAACCACGUAAGUGAGUUGCAAUGACCCAAAGGACGUAUUCACAGAAACACCAUUGGACUGCGGCCAUAUUGGAGCACCGCGUUGGUGGGUUUAAUCGGACAAAUCGACCCCAAGAUUUAUUUUUCUUCUAUUCUUUUAUUCUUUUCUCUUUUUUUUUUUUUUACUUGUUUCAGUCAUUUGACUGCAGCCAUGCUGGAGCACCACCAUAAAGGGCUUUUUAGUCGAGGAAAUCGACCCCAAGACUUAUCCUUUGUAAGCCAAGUACUUAUUCUAUCGGUCUCUUUUGCCGAACUACGGGGACGUAUACAAAACAACACCGGCUGUAUGUAUGUAUAAUUGUGUGUGUGUGUGUGUUGAAACCUGCUGGAAGAUGUGAAUCUACCCUCUGAGAAGGGCACGGUAGAGUCUCUUUCUUGUGACCAUUGCGUCAUAUCUGCUUCUCCAAGGCAGGCCAACUCGGCCACAUCCAUAGUAACAGAAGCACGUCCUCCAACCAGUGCGAUGACAUCCAGCAUAAUCUCGUGUAACACAGUGUGUAGAUCAACCAAAGCACGUACUCGACAUUAUAAAUCUCGGCAUUUAGAAUAGUCAGGCUGCCUCCGGAAAACCAACUGCUGAUCAAACGUGGAAUGACUUGCAAGUUCUUGUAGGUCUUGAGAGUUCUUUGAGAUGUCAUCAGCGAUAAGGAAAACAAAAAGUUAAGUACUUCUUGGAAUGAAAUUAGUUUACGAAGUGGUCUUAUUCGGUCACGAGGCCACUUACAACGUAGAUGGAUGGAUGGACAGACAGACAGACAAACAGACAGACAGACAGACAGACAGACAGAUAGAUAGAUAGAUAGAUAGAUAGAUAGAUAGAUAGAUAGAUAGAUAGAUAGAUAGAUAGAUUAGACAGACAGACAGACAGACAGACAGACAGACAGACAGACAGACAGACGGAUAGACAGACAGACAGACAAACGGAUAGACAGACAGACGGCCAGAGAGAUAGGCAGACAGACAAACAGACAGUAAAGACUGAUAGAUAGAUAGAUAGAUAGAUAGAUAGAUAGAUAGAUAGAUAGAUAGAUAGAUAGAUAGAUAACGGUGUUUCUUCUAGUGUCACUAAUGGAUCUAGUUCGUUAAUUGGAUCAUUAAAACUGGCAGAAAAUAUAUUUUGCCAAGAAUUUUAUAUAUAUU